AGCUGUAUAGCUCAGUGGUAGAGCGCUUCCCUUCCAAGUUCAAGGCCCUGGGUUCCAUUCCUAGUACUGCUC
rnacentral:tRNA from 1 species